CAGCAGCCGCGGUAAUACGAAGGGUGCAAGCGUUACUCGGAAUUACUGGGCGUAAAGCGUGCGUAGGUGGUGGUUUAAGUCCGUUGUGAAAGCCCUGGGCUUAACCUGGGAAUUGCAGUGGAUACUGGGUCACUAGAGUGUGGUAGAGGAUAGUGGAAUUUCCGGUGUAGCAGUGAAAUGCGUAGAGAUCGGAAGGAACAUCUGUGGCGAAGGCGACUAUCUGGGCCAACACUGACACUGAGGCACGAAAGCGUGGGGAGCAAACAGGAUUAGAUACCCGGGUAGUCCCUGUCUCUUAUAC
rnacentral:rRNA from 1 species